rnacentral:misc_RNA from 1 species
AACUGAUACUACCUGCGGGAACCUGCGGAGGGAUCAUUACCGAGUUUACAACUCCCAAACCCAAUGUGAACGUUACCAAACUGUUGCCUCGGCGGGAUCUCUGCCCCGGGUGCGUCGCAGCCCCGGACCAAGGCGCCCGCCGGAGGACCAACCAAAAACUCUUUUUGUAUACCCCCUCGCGGGUUUUUAUAUAUCUGAGCCUUUCUCGGCGCCCCUUCGUGGGCGUUUCGAAAAUGAAUC